UUGUGUACGACGCCGACGUCGAAUACCUGGAGAACCAGUGUGCACCCGACCCGCCCAACUGCGAGUACCGGGAUGUUGAGAGCCGGUUCCUGCCCUUCGUGGACCGCAUGAUCGCGCGGGUCGCCAACAAAGCCGAGUGUAUGCGCAGCUGUGACGUGGAGCUCGACUUCAAGUGCCGCAGCUACAACUACAACGACCGGCGGCGGGG